CUUUCUUUCAUAUACAGGAACACCCCUUCCUCUUUCUUGCCUUCUCUGUCUUUUCUAUAUAAAGAGUACCCUGGUAUUGCUAUAUCCCAGUAAUUUUUCUCAUUAUACCAUGUCUCAGUAACAGCCACUAAAUCUACAUUCUCAGUUGCCAUUAUUGUCACAAGUUCAUGGAUCUUAUUCCCUAAACUGUGAGCAUUUGUAGACAUGACACUAAGCUUAUCAUUUUUUUAAUACACUCGUUACAGUUACUUUCUGUUUUUGUUUU